CACAAAAUAGAAAAAUAGAAAAAGAACUCUUUAUGCCCGAAGAAGAGGUUGAAUUUUUGAUCUUUGGAAGCUUGAUCAUUUUUCUUUGAAUCUUGAGAGGAUGUUGAAUAUGUUGUUGAAGAAUGCUCUUUGAAUUUGGUACUUGGUUCCUCUCUUUUUCUUCUCUAAGGAUGUAUAAUAGAGCUCUCAAAGAUUUUGUUGAUUUUCUCUUUUUAACCAUC
rnacentral:lncRNA from 1 species